CAUCCAGACUCCUACGGGAGGCAGCAGUGAGGAAUAUUGGUCAAUGGGCGAGAGCCUGAACCAGCCAAGUCGCGUGAGGGAAGACGGCCCUACGGGUUGUAAACCUCUUUUGUCGGGGAGCAAAGCGAGUCACGUGUGACUCAUUGAGAGUACCCGAAGAAAAAGCAUCGGCUAACUCCGUGCCAGCAGCCGCGGUAAUACGGAGGAUGCGAGCGUUAUCCGGAUUUAUUGGGUUUAAAGGGUGCGCAGGCGGAAUGUCAAGUCAGCGGUAAAAUUUCGGGGCUCAACCCCGUCGUGCCGUUGAAACUGGCGUUCUUGAGUGAGCGAGAAGUAUGCGGAAUGCGUGGUGUAGCGGUGAAAUGCAUAGAUAUCACGCAGAACUCCGAUUGCGAAGGCAGCAUACCGGCGCUCAACUGACGCUCAUGCACGAAAGCGUGGGUAUCGAACAGGAUUAGAUACCCGAGUACAC
rnacentral:rRNA from 1 species